UAGAUCUACCAGCAGACAGUACUAAACUAAUUCCGUCAUUCACAUGAACAUUCUCCUACAAGCCACAGCCCAGAAGACUGUCAAUAUGCACCCAGCCUUAUCAUUUUCUGUUAAUAUUUAGUCAGUGUUUCCAAUAUAAUUGGCUGCUUCUGCAGAUCAAAGGCUUUUACAUAGGUCCUACAUGCAAAUCAAAUAGCUAUCCAUGGAACAUCAGAACUUGACUUGCUCCAUUCUCUUAUAGUUUUUGUGUCUCAUGCUAAAGAAAUGAGAGAUGCAGAAUUCUAAGGCUGAAUAGCUAGGAAGUACUCAUUCAAACUUGAAUAUUCUUCAAAGAGAGUGUGGGGCAAUUCUAAUCAGAGGAAGAAACAUGAAGUCAACCCAGAUGUUUUCCACCAGGGCCCUCCUUUUGGCUGGUCUGAUUUCCACUGAAGUCAGAGGCCUCACCAGGGUGUGGAUGUCUUGUGCUCUGCUGGAUCUACUGUGUUUGCACCAUUCACUGGAAUGAUUAUGGACCAGGAGAAACCUUAUCAAAACAAAAAUGCUAUCAAUAAUGCUGUUCGAAUACCUGGAAGAGGUAAGAGAGGUGGAGUCUACACCUAGGGUGCCUACUGGAGAUGUUGAUGCUUAUUUGUUUAAUGCAGUUCCCAUACAUAGAGGUUUUCUUCUUCUUUCAAAAUGAUAAAACCUAGAACAGAAAGGAUAUAGAGUAUACCAAACUAGCUGAUGCAUUUUUAAAAAACUUCUUAGGUUCAGGGCUACAUGUGCCCAUUUGUUAUACAGGUAAACUGCAUGUCACAGGGGUCUGGUGUACAGAUUAUUUUGCCAUCCCGGUAAUAAGCAUAGUAGCCGAUAGAUACUUUUUUAUGAUCCUCUCCUGCUGAUGCACUUUCGAGGACUUUUCACCACUUUCCCUGAAAACUUCUGCUUCAUGCAUACACUUCAUGAAACCCUACAGCUAAUUGGAGUUAUUCCUUCCUGUGGCCCUUGUGGUUUUGCUUCACGAUCUAUAAACAAAGCCACUUUCAGCAAUGCUAACCAUAAUGGAUAGAUACUUCCACUUACUCAAAUCCCACAAAUUAUAAAUGCUGGCAUUUCUGCAAGAGUUGAAUGUGAAACAUUUUUGAAAGCUUCUAAAUUUUAGGUAAAGCUAGGUCUCCUUGUACUCCAGAUAUUGGCUUUGUUGUUUGAUUGUUUUAAUUGCAUCAAGGUAUAAAAUAUACCCAUAAAAGUGCACAACACAUCCAUGUACAACUCCAUGAACUGCAUAAAGUCAAUACGUCUGUGUAACCGGCGCCCAUAUCAUGAAAAAGAACAUCACCAACAUCCCAGAGAUCACUUGUGCUAACGUUUAGACAUGUUCCCAGCAAGGUAAUCACUAUCCCAAGUUCUAACACCAUGCAUUAGUUCCUCCUGUUUCUAAAAAUGGUAUAAAUAGAAUUAAACAGCA